AGUGAACGCUGGCGGUAGGCCUAACACAUGCAAGUCGAACGGCAGCACAGUAAGAGCUUGCUCUUACGGGUGGCGAGUGGCGGACGGGUGAGGAAUACAUCGGAAUCUACUUUUUCGUGGGGGAUAACGUAGGGAAACUUACGCUAAUACCGCAUACGACCUACGGGUGAAAGCAGGGGAUCUUCGGACCUUGCGCGAUUGAAUGAGCCGAUGUCGGAUUAGCUAGUUGGCGGGGUAAAGGCCCACCAAGGCGACGAUCCGUAGCUAGUCUGAGAGGAUGAUCUGCCACACUGGAACUGAGACACGGUCCAGACUCCAACGGGAGGCAGCAGUGGGGAAUAUUGGACAAUGGGCGCAAGCCUGAUCCAGCCAUACCGCGUGAGUGAAGAAGGCCUUCGGGUUGUAAAGCCCUUUUGUUGGGAAAGAAAAGCAGCAGGUUAAUACCCCGCUGUUCUGACGGUACCCAAAGAAUAAGCACCGGCUAACUUCGUG
rnacentral:rRNA from 1 species